rnacentral:tRNA from 1 species
GGGCCCAUAGCUCAGUUGGUUAGAGCACCUGACUCAUAAUCAGGGGGUCCCUGGUUCAAGCCCAGGUGGGCCCA